rnacentral:rRNA from 1 species
UAGUCCACACCGUAAACGAUGAAUGCCAGUCGUCGGGUAGCAUGCUAUUCGGUGACACACCUAACGGAUUAAGCAUUCCGCCUGGGGAGUACGGCCGCAAGGUUAAAACUCAAAUGAAUUGACGGGGGCCCGCACAAGCGGUGGAGCAUGUGGUUUAAUUCGAUGCAACGCGAAGAACCUUACCUACCCUUGACAUCCAGAGAACUUACCAGAGAUGGUUUGGUGCCUUCGGGAACUCUGAGACAGGUGCUGCAUGGCUGUCGUCAGCUCGUGUUGUGAAACGUUCGGUUAAGUCCGGCAACGAGCGCAACCCACAUCCUUAGUUGCCAGCAGUUCGGCUGGGCACUCUAGGGAAACUGCCCGUGAUAAGCGGGAGGAAGGUGUGGAUGACGUCAAGUCCUCAUGGCCCUUACGGGUUGGGCGUACACACGUGCUACAAUGGCAGUGACAAUGGGUUAAUCCCAAAAACUGUACUCAGUUCGGAUUGUUCUCUGCAACUCGAGAGC